CAUUCUAUAUGUCUAUAAAUUAUGUUGUACUUAAGCACAAGUGUAGAUAUCAUGUGGAAGCAUGCAACAGUAUUAUUACAGGACUGACUCUAUUCCAUUGGCUAUCCCUUGUAUCCCUAGGACUCAUUCAUUCCACAGCUGGAAGCAGUUAUCUCUCUCUCAAAGGUGUCAAUCCUUUAUCUAACCUAAACACUUCGGUGGUAAACACAAUUACCUCUUGUUCAGCAUGUGUAAAUUGGCGGUCUAUUUUCUUGUGAACAUUGCUUAAAGCAUUACAAAUGAUGUCAUUAUGUUAAUAAAUUCGGUUUCAUUCUUCACUCACAAGAAGGGGGAAGGAAAAGAUUUCUUUGUGUCCUAGGCCCUGUCACUAAGACCCUUCCCAGUGUAGAGAACAGGCUUAGGUUGCCCAGAGCACCUUCAGUCCCUCAGCUGAGCCACCAGGGCUUUCAACAUUGCAGGAAUUCCCAUGGUGGCCAGCAGAGAGAGCUCGAGCACCACACACCCAGAGGGGCGGGUUCCUCUGCAUGGGCAGUGAUGGCCAGCAGAGGGCCCACCAACGGCUUUUCUGACCCAGGGCACUUCAGAGCAGGAAGGGUUGCUGUUGCUCCCAGAGGACACAGGUCCUCUGCCGCUGCCUCAGGACAGAGAGCAGAGCUGCGUUUCCAGCGCGUUCUGCCGCCCACCCCAGGGGAGACCUUGGGAGUUUUGCAGCAACUUGGCAUCUCCUGAGUCACCAGAGAGAAGCUGCCUUGUACUGAGUGCCAAGGAGGGGGCGCUGGGUGGCUUCCCUGGGAAAGCUGGUUGCUGAGCAACACAGGCCCUUGCAUUUUCUGGGCUGUCCCCAUGUUUUAUUCCUCCCCUUCCCAGACAGUAUCUGAACAAGACGUAUUUUACUAAAGGACUCAUGGAUUGCGGGGUCCCAGGACAUCACCUCAUAGAUGCAGUCGAUGGUUUGUUCCAGAUUCAGGCUUGUUUCCAGGAAGAAACCCUGACAGAAAUUCAGAAGAACGGGAGCUGCAUUCAGUUAGGAUGUGAAUACAUGAAAUGCUCAUCUCAAGACCUUCUAGAAGAAUGAGCUGGGACCCACUUUCUGAGUCCUGCUGGAACCAGAGACCGAGAUAUUGCCCAGGUGUCUGAAAGCCUGCAUUGGGGUACCUCCUUUUCCAAUAGUCUAUAUUCCCAUAAGUAUUGCAGUCGGUCUACUUUGGACUUUUGCUUCUAUUGUAUCUCUCUGUAUGUUCACAUACUUUUGUUGCACCACUUUAAUGAUGAGGCCUUCAUCAUCACUUUAAUUUUCACUAAAUGGUAUGAGCUGCAGUUCCAUUUAUGACAAAGUGCAGGCUUCCUGUGUUAGGUAUUCAAGAGCAAGCCAGAUAUCCUGAGCACUUGAGCUGAGAAUGUCACUCUGUCUUUUUGCCAGCCCUCUUCCUUUCCCUUGAAGACAAGAAUCUCCUGUUGUUCACACAGAAAUGUGGGUGAAGUCAGUAGAAAACACUGCCUUCUCUCCUCUUCCCUUUAUCUCUCAAACUCCUCUUCACUACCUUCUGCCUUUCCCUUUCUCUGACUCAAUCUUCCAGGCCCACUGCUCCACUCCAGCCAUAAUCAGGGUGUCCUACAGCUGCUGGCCUCUGCCCUGUCCAUCCCUCAGUGAGAAAUCUGGAGUAGGAUUAUGGAGUUCACAGGACUGAUCAAGAAAUAUGUGAUCCUCAGAGCCCUCCUGCACAAGGUUGCUGUCUGUGGAGACAUGGCAUCCUGGGUGAGGAUCUGACUCUAUGUGUAGCCUCCUCACUCAUCUCCCACAGUCACUGCUGGUCCCUGAUCCUUACCCACCAUUAGAAAUCAGCCAUAUUCUAGGGUCAGGAACCUGUCUAUGUGACCCGAAGCACCAGGAGUCAGUGAGUAUUUCUAAAAUAAAUGAGCACAAGGACCCCAUGCAUCUAGAUAUAGGAAAUUACCAUCACCCCAGAAAACUCGGGCUCCUCUGCACAAAGGGUGAUCUUGCUACUAUCCUCCAUCACCUCAAUUUCUGCUAGUUUAUUACCUGUGUGUAUACGAACCGCACUGUGUGCAUUCGAUGGGGAGUGAGAGUAGGUCCUCCUAGAAGCAAACACUGAAACAGAGACAGAACAGUGAAAGUACUAUUAAGGGAUACUAAGAAAAACAAAGUGGAGAGCACCGGGUGGGCAGAGAAAGCAUGCAGGCAGAUCUGACACAUUUUUAAGAUAUAUAAUCACCAUACUCUGUCAGCUCACACAGUCCUCUUCAAAUUUCAAAAUAGUUGUCAUAUAAGGCAGUGAGAUUUAUGAGAUUUGGGGUUAUUUCCCUAUGGUCAUAUGUUUUCCUACCUGCAUUCCCUCUUCGAUAGUUAAUCUGUGGCCUCAGAUGAACACUUUAGAGUGUGGAUGCAUCUGCGAGUCUCUAUGUAAUGGAAUAUGAUUGUCUUCAGAUCUCAGAUGUAGAACUCUGAUAUAUACAUUCUCAUAAUUAUCAUUUUCUUUCUUUGCCUGGUAGGGCCUGAAUUUUAAUAGAAAAAGCAUGUCUUUGUCUCAUUGUUUAAAAUGGUGAUUCCCAAUCCCUUGGCUGAGGUGUUAACAGUCUUAAUUUAAUGAAUUUCCACAACCAUCUGUUUUUUUUUUUCCUGAAGUACCAAAAUGAACUUAUUAUUUCACUUGUAGGCAGGUUCUAUAGAAUGGAGUCAAAGUAAAACAAUAAAAUGCAUAUUCAGUGCAUGUGAAAUAGGUACAUAUUCUACAUAUAGUCAUGCAAAAACUUUAGUUAAAAAAUUAAAAGUCUGAUCUAAAAUGAAAUCAGUCUGUGAUUGCCUAGUAGAAAUGCUUAGCUCCUACUAUGUAAAUAUCAUGAAUCUAUAUGAACUAUUAAAAUUUGACAGUCAGUAGACAACUGUGUCCUACAUUUAUGUUUAUUAAAAACUGACAUAAACAAACAAAGCCUGUACAAAAAAUAUUCCAAAUCACGUAUCACUUUGAAAUAGUAAUCUUGAGAGACAUUAUCGCCUAGGACCCCCUCUUCCUCUACCCCAACCACGUCCUCUUCCUCUUCCUCGGCCUCAGCCUCUUCCUGCAACAGCUUCCCUUUUCUUAGAUUUCACCUUCGGUUCAACAUCCAGAAGUAGUGUAUCCAGAGGUAAGCUGUCUGGCA